CAUCCCCCGUACAGUUGUCAUGAAAGAGGAAAUUAGCUAUAAAGACCAGCCAAACCCCCUGGAACAGGCUCCCUCUACUCUGUGCAGAAGUGCGCCAUGUUUCCAACUUGUCUGUGCUGUUUCCUGAUUGGCUGUUGAGAAACAGCUACAUCCUGACGUUCUAAUACUGCAGUUGGUGAUUUGAGACCUCAGGCGACAGCUACAGACGCUCUACAACUAACCAGUGAAUCAUCGAUCUGAACCACAAAAGGUGCUGACAGGAAAACACAACAACAUUUUUGUUUUUUUUACAAUUACACCCUAAAUCUACUCAUGUCACUGCCGGCUUCCUUGACGGUCUGGUUAACCAAUCAGUGAAGACACAACACACAUGAUUACAUCACAGACUGGAGGACUUCACAUCAGAUCAAUGACGAUCAGAUUCAGAACAGCGAGUGUUGUGUUUCACAUCGAUCCCCUUCUCUGUGAGAGCUCUUCUUCUUCAGGACACACAUUAAAUAUUUACAUGAUUAAA